GUGGCAGGAGGGACUAUAAAUUCACUCAAAGCAAUCAUGCGCAUAAGCAUAUGCUUUUUCAUGAGUAUGCAGAGCCAAACAAAGCAAAACAAAAGUACCCUAUUGCUUGUUCCUGGCUCCACUUCCCAAAAUAAAAUCCCAUUUGACGAGGAAAGAAAGGUAGAUUCCAUGCAAAAAAAGUCAACAAUUUUGGACCCAUGGUUGGUGCACUGUCAAGUUUUUGUCCGAUGAACUGCUUUCGAAUGAUGAUCCUACUGUUGUGGCGCGAUUGCGGCUUCGCGCUUCAAGAAGUAUCGGGUUUCAGGUUUGAUGAAGCGGAGCUCCUUUCACAGCCUCGAGCCUAGACCUGGAUGGUGUGAUGUAUCCUGGAAUUGGAGAUUACAGACAAGUCAAUCUGGUAGAUGAAAACUGGUUCAGAUGGCAUAAAUUUUGCUAUCAAGUGGGAUUAGAACAAAGAAUUGCUUUAAAGCCUUGACUCAUCAGAGUCCAUCUGCAGUUGCACAUCUUGGAUACUUCUUCUCAGGGGGGACAUUCAUUCCUGGGACUAUAUAAAGCUUACAUGAAUGUACAAAGCCUAUAGAGCAAAAGUUUGUAUUGCUGGCUAAAGGUAAAGGCUCCACUUUCUGAAAGCAAUCCAAUUUUCAAGAAAAAAUCAACACCUUUUCAUGGUUGGUGGGAAGUUAUGUGUAGUUAAAUGCUUGUUUUCAGGAGUUGCUCUCAAAGAAUUUAAUGAAAUGCAAGUUGAUAGUCAUAGAAAGAGAAGGAGAAGUGGCAGAAGACGAGUGGCUUGUCUAGAUUCAAAGAGGGCAAGAGUGCUUCCUCAAUCAUCCCCUUCACCACUCGGUACAAGCUUGCCAAAAGUUUGAUCACAAGAUAACCAAAUUAUGACGAGGAGAUCAUGAAGAUGGCGAUUGAAAGAGAGGAAGUGUUGCUGGGAAGCCCAAGGACUGCCAGUAUCAUGACACGGCCGAUCGCCAGGUGCUUAUGGUAGAUUAGCAGUGUCACCCGGCUUGAGAUGGUGCUAUGUUAAACUGUACCAAUCAAAGGGCAGAUCUGAAUGUCGUGAGGAUUGACUUGUAUAGCUGAUUCGCUGUGGCCAUAAACAUACAUCCUCGCAAGUUUCUACAGGAAGUUAUGUCAUGCAAACCCGCGAAAUGUUUCGAACAGACCCCUAUCCAGCAAAGUUCAUGCCGUGGCUUCUCAAGACUUAGCAAUCAGAACUCGGUACUUCAAAGUGAGAGCAGCACUACCAAUCAUGUGCUUUCUGAUAUCCCCUAUCAUUCCAACGGACACAUGUUGAUGGUUUUACAUUGCUUCUGAUCGCUAUUUGGCAUGCGAAUUCUACCUUGUCUAGACUCUUAUUUGCUUGGAGAAGGGCAAGAGCGAGAUGGAGGCCGCGAAAGUACUACGCCCGUGG